rnacentral:rRNA from 1 species
AUUGAACGCUGGCGGCAUGCUUUACACAUGCAAGUCGAACGGUAACAGGGAGCUUGCUCCGCUGACGAGUGGCGAACGGGUGAGUAAUGCGUCGGAACGUGCCGAGUAGUGGGGGAUAACGCAGCGAAAGUUGUGCUAAUACCGCAUACGUACUGAGGUAGAAAGUGGGGGACCUUCGGGCCUCACGCUAUUAGAGCGGCCGACGUCUGAUUAGCUAGUAGGUGAGGGAAAGGCUCACCUAGGCGACGAUCAGUAGCCGGUCUGAGAGGAUGAUCCGCCACACUGGGACUGAGACACGGCCCAGACUCCUACGGGAGGCAGCAGUGGGGAAUUUUGGACAAUGGGCGAAAGCCUGAUCCAGCCAUGCCGCGUGUCUGAAGAAGGCCUUCGGGUUGUAAAGGACUUUUGUCAGGGAGGAAAUCCCUAGUGCUAAUAACACUGGGGGAUGACAGUACCUGAAGAAUAAGCACCGGCUAACUACGUGCCAGCAGCCGCUGUAACAC